rnacentral:rRNA from 1 species
GAGCGCCCGUAGCAAUACGGGAGCGGCAGACGGGUGAGUAAUACGUGGGAACGUACCCUUCGGUUCGGAAUAACCCAGGGAAACUUGGGCUAAUACCGGAUACGUCCGAAAGGAGAAAGAUUUAUCGCCGAGGGAUCGGCCCGCGUCCGAUUAGCUGGUUGGUGGGGUAAUGGCCCACCAAGGCGACGAUCGGUAGCUGGUCUGAGAGGAUGAUCAGCCACACUGGGACUGAGACACGGCCCAGACUCCUACGGGAGGCAGCAGUGGGGAAUAUUGGACAAUGGGCGCAAGCCUGAUCCAGCCAUGCCGCGUGGGUGAUGAAGGCCCUAGGGUUGUAAAGCCCUUUCGGCGGGGAAGAUAAUGACGGUACCCGCAGAAGAAGCCCCGGCUAACUUCGUGCCAGCAGCCGCGGUAAU